UACGAAGGGGGCUAGCGUUGCUCGGAAUCACUGGGCGUAAAGCGCACGUAGGCGGCUUCUUAAGUCAGGGGUGAAAUCCUGGAGCUCAACUCCAGAACUGCCUUUGAUACUGAGAGGCUUGAGUGCGGGAGAGGUGAGUGGAACUGCGAGUGUAGAGGUGAAAUUCGUAGAUAUUCGCAAGAACACCAGUGGCGAAGGCGGCUCACUGGCCCGGUACUGACGCUGAGGUGCGAAAGCGUGGGGAGCAAACAGG
rnacentral:rRNA from 1 species